rnacentral:rRNA from 1 species
UUUGAUCAUGGCUCAGGACGAACGCUGGCGGCGUGCUUAACACAUGCAAGUCGAACGAUGAAGCCUAGCUUGCUAGGUGGAUUAGUGGCGAACGGGUGAGUAAUACGUGAGUGACCUACCUUUGACUCUGGGAUAAGCCUGGGAAACUGGGUCUAAUACCGGAUACGACCAAUCUCCGCAUGGGGUGUUGGUGGAAAGCGUUAUGGAGUGGUUUUAGAUGGGCUCACGGCCUAUCAGCUUGUUGGUGAGGUAAUGGCUUACCAAGGCGACGACGGGUAGCCGGCCUGAGAGGGUGACCGGCCACACUGGGACUGAGACACGGCCCAGACUCCUACGGGAGGCAGCAGUGGGGAAUAUUGCACAAUGGGCGCAAGCCUGAUGCAGCGACGCCGCGUGAGGGAUGACGGCCUUCGGGUUGUAAACCUCUGUUAGCAUCGAAGAAGCGAAAGUGACGGUAGGUGCAGAGAAGCGCCGGCUAACUACGUGCCAGCAGCCGCGGUAAUACGUAGGGCGCGAGCGUUGUCCGGAAUUAUUGGGCGUAAAGAGCUUGUAGGCGGUUGGUCGCGUCUGCUGUGAAAGGCUGGGGCUUAACCCUGGUUUUGCAGUGGGUACGGGCUAACUAGAGUGCAGUAGGGGAGACUGGAAUUCCUGGUGUAGCGGUGGAAUGCGCAGAUAUCAGGAGGAACACCGAUGGCGAAGGCAGGUCUCUGGGCUGUAACUGACGCUGAGAAGCGAAAGCAUGGGGAGCGAACAGGAUUAGAUACCCUGGUAGUCCAUGCCGUAAACGUUGGGCACUAGGUGUGGGGGACAUUCCACGUUUUCCGCGCCGUAGCUAACGCAUUAAGUGCCCCGCCUGGGGAGUACGGCCGCAAGGCUAAAACUCAAAGAAAUUGACGGGGGCCCGCACAAGCGGCGGAGCAUGCGGAUUAAUUCGAUGCAACGCGAAGAACCUUACCAAGGCUUGACAUAUACUGGACUGCGUCAGAGAUGGCGUUUCCCUUCGGGGCUGGUAUACAGGUGGUGCAUGGUUGUCGUCAGCUCGUGUCGUGAGAUGUUGGGUUAAGUCCCGCAACGAGCGCAACCCUCGUUCUAUGUUGCCAGCACGUGAUGGUGGGGACUCAUAGGAGACUGCCGGGGUCAACUCGGAGGAAGGUGGGGAUGACGUCAAAUCAUCAUGCCCCUUAUGUCUUGGGCUUCACGCAUGCUACAAUGGCCGGUACAGAGGGUUGCGAUUCUGUGAGGUGGAGCUAAUCCCUAAAAGCCGGUCUCAGUUCGGAUUGGGGUCUGCAACUCGACCCCAUGAAGUCGGAGUCGCUAGUAAUCGCAGAUCAGCAACGCUGCGGUGAAUACGUUCCCGGGCCCUUGUACACACCGCCCGUCA